UGCGUCGAGGUGCGUUAUUCUCUUCCUGGUCCUUUGCUUUUGCCGCAGGCACCAUGGACGACGUGGAGCUGAGUGAACUCGUCAAGCGGUUCCAGUCGCUGCAGAAGGAGCAGGUGCCAAACCAAAUCACUGAGCGCAACGCUGUCGAGAUUGCCAAUGCGCUAAUUAAGAAAAACCUUAUUGAUCUCCUCUUCACCACAGACGCCAAGGAGUACCUCACCUGGGAUGAACUGAAGCGCGAGAUCGUGAACGAGGUGCUAGCCAACGGCGGGCGGCUAAACGUCGUCGAUCUACCAGGGCUUCUGAGCGUUCACACCUUCCAGGUGGAGCGCGCUCUGCCUAGUGUGUUGGAGGAGAACCCCAUCCUCACCCUCGAAGGCGGUGAGCUGAUGACAGACGGGUAUCUGGACGCGAUAGUGCUCGCUGCAGGGGACCUCCUGAAGGAGCAGGGCUCGCUCGCUAUCUCGCAGUUUGCCUCCAUGAACCAGCUGAGCUCCCUGUUUGCAAAGAGCUUGCUCCACAGAGCAGUGGAGCGUGGACGCAUCGACGCCGUCAUGCAAGAUGCGUCGCUUUACACGACGCAGUUUGUGAAGCUACAGCGCAUGGUAGUGCGUGCCGGGCUGCUGGCGGCGGAGGAGCCGGUUCGGCUGGACGCCUUCUACAAGCGCAACGAGCUCUUCGCUCCGCUGAUGAGCACAGUCGUUGCUGCGGUCCGCGACGAGCUCCCUGGCCGCUUUGAUGGAUCAAGCAUUUAUGUCCCACUCGUGUACGAGGCGAAGCGCACGGCGGAGGUGGAGAACUUGUACGCAUCGAACGGCUGUGUCGAGUACGCCCCGCUACUGCGACAGGGGAUUAGCAACCCUCGCCAGUACUUGAUCGAGCGCUACAACCCACCUGAUGCGGCUGCGGCCGAGCAGGCGGCGACAGCCAUGGCGUCCUCGACCGCCUCGGCGCCGGCCAAUCAGCGAAAGGGUCGAAGGAAAGGCCAAGGGGGCAGGGCGGCUGCUAUGGCCAGGGAGGCAGCAGUGCGUGUGACAGUGCGAGCGAGUGCCAAGCACCCCUUGUGUGGGUACCCGCUCGCUAACGGGUUCGUGUCGGAUCGCUACCUCAGCAAUCUGCCCGCCUUGCAGAGCCUGGUGGACCGAGAGGCGCUCGCCGUGGACGUUGUGGAGCAGCUUCCGCUGUUUGUGGAGAUGGAGAAGGACUGGCCGUUGCUAGAGGAGCGUCUGCGCGAGCUGUACCCUGGGCUGGAGAGCGCCACGCUGAUCGCCAACACCGUGUUGCUCUCCGCGGCAGCCGAAGAGGAGGUCAAGACGGCCCUUCCCCCCGCCUUGGCAAACGCCAAAAAGUCGAGUGUGCCCGUGAGCACCGCGGCAGCGGACACGAUCGCCUCCGUGCUGAGGCUGCCGCGAGACCGGUAUGGCGAGGUUCUCCGGGAGUUGGUGGAUAUGUGGGGCGGGGUGGUGGAGGCGUUGGAGCAGCAGCUGGCGCUGUCGGCUGCCAAGAAUGCGGCGGCAGAGUUGAAGCAGUUCAGAGGCGCGUUGCAGGAGGAGCUCGCAACGCGCUGGACCCAUCUCUGGGUCACCGCGAAAGGGGUGGAGUGGGCUCUGGACCAGCUUGAUGGGGCGACGUCUGCGGCCGUUGCUCGGCACGUCAUGUCCACAGAGGCGUAUGAGAUGGCGAGGCAGGUCAUCCGGAACGAGAGUCUGGACAUGCCGGAGUGGAGCAAGAAUGUGGCAGCGGCGCUCAAGCAGGUGAGCCAGCCAGCCCAGCUCAUGAAGGCGCUGCUGACCUUUUCGGAGAGUCGACGCAACAGCCUCAUACCUCUUCUUGACGCCCUCAAAGACAAAUCGGUCGGGGCGUUCCUCGACACCCUGCGCGAGAUGAGUGGCUCCGGCGUCGUCGCUGUCGCAUCGUUUCACCAACCGAACAAGAAGGUGGAGCGAGAUAUGUAUGUGAAGAUCAAGGAGUCUGUGGCCCAGGAGGUGAAGGCAGCGUCUGUCUCGAGGGAGGAUGCCACCGCCAACGGCAAGCUUCUCUCCUCAUUGUGCACCCUGCUCGUACACCACUGCUUUCGGUGCCACGUUGAGGUUCCUGGGAAGGCGGUCGCUGGCGUCGUAGGCCGCCUGAAAUCGGAAGCGGGAAUGCCAUCGGCUUUGGAGAGAGCGAAGGACGCGGUUAUGGCCUCCUUGCAACGCGGCAGCGUCGAUGAGACAGAAGCGGCGACGCUCGAGGAGCUUCGCACCGCAACACUGGCUCUCAGCUGAUGGCAACCGCGAAGAGCAAACCGGAAAAGGCUCGGGGUAUCCGCCUUCUCUCGCCUCCCCUCCUCGCCAUCUCUGCCUAUUCGAUUAGUGAAUGAUGGAUGAGGGUGAUGGUUGAUUUCUGAUGGGUCAUCUCGUGAGCGUGUGCGCGGGUGCAUGCCUUCUGUUUUUUCUUUUUUCACGCUGUCCGUGGACGGCGAGUCAACGCGCAAAAUCAACGACGCCAAAGGGCGCCUCUUGUGGAAGGGGCCGUGCCCCACACUCGCAGCUGGGUCCCACGUAAGAGCUGAUGCGCCGAGACUCACCGGCGUACGUGUAGGUGUACGCGGAGUGCCCAACCGGCGGAUACGGCUCUCGCUCACUGUAGUUCUCCUUCCUCCAUACUCCUCCCUCUCUUGGUCUCGCUUUUGUUUUCGUUUUGUCGAACCCCUUCUCUGUUGUGUGCUCUCUUCAUCAAUACGCUGCACUCACCAAG
rnacentral:misc_RNA from 1 species